GAUGAACGCUGGCGGCGUGCUUAACACAUGCAAGUCGAACGAAGCACUUUACUACGAUUUCUUCGGAAUGACGGUUUUGUGACUGAGUGGCGGACGGGUGAGUAACGCGUGGAUAACCUGCCUCAUACAGGGGGAUAACAGCCGGAAACGGCUGCUAAUACCGCAUAAGCGCACGGUACCGCAUGGUACAGUGUGAAAAACUCCGGUGGUAUGGGAUGGAUCCGCGUCUGAUUAGCCAGUUGGCGGGGUAACGGCCCACCAAAGCGACGAUCAGUAGCCGACCUGAGAGGGCGACCGGCCACAUUGGGACUGAGACACGGCCCAAACUCCUACGGGAGGCAGCAGUGGGGAAUAUUGCACAAUGGGCGAAAGCCUGAUGCAGCGACGCCGCGUGAGCGAAGAAGUAUUUCGGUAUGUAAAGCUCUAUCAGCAGGGAAGAUAAUGACGGUACCUGAGUAAGAAGCUCCGGCUAAAUACGUG
rnacentral:rRNA from 1 species